GCGAGCGGGAAGAGCUCAAAUUUAUAAUCUGGCACCUUCGGUGUCCGAGUUGUAAUCUCUAGAAGUGUUUUCCGCGUUGGACCGCACACAAGUCUGUUGGAAUACAGCGGCAUAGUGGUGAGACCCCCGUAUAUGGUGCGGACGCCCAACGCUUUGUGAUACACUUUCGAAGAGUCGAGUUGUUUGGGAAUGCAGCUCAAAUUGGGUGGUAAAUUCCAUCUAAAGCUAAAUAUUGGCGAGAGACCGAUAGCGAACAAGUACCGUGAGGGAAAGAUGAAAAGCACUUUGGAAAGAGAGUUAACAGUACGUGAAAUUGUUGGAAGGGAAACGCUUGAAGUCAGACUUGCUUGCCGAGCAAUCGGUUUGCAGGCCAGCAUCAGUUUUCCGGGGUGGAUAAUGGUAGAGAGAAGGUAGCAGUUUCGGCUGUGUUAUAGCUCUUUGCUGGAUACACCUUGGGGGACUGAGGAACGCAGUGUGCCUUACGGCGGAUUUCUCGAGAUCUUCACACUUAGGAUGCUGGUGGAAUGGCUUUAAACGACCCGUCUUGAACCACGGACC
rnacentral:rRNA from 1 species